ensembl:lncRNA
GCUGCCCUGACUUGCUGACUGCAUGGACUCUGCACCUACACUGGAUUUAUCAUGUUCCAAGUUUCAGCUGCAGACAGGUGCCAACACAAGAUGGAGAUUUCAGCAGGAGCCCAGACUUUUUCCAUGAAGAAGAAAAUAGAUGUCAAAUCUGAAUUUUGGAGUCUGCAAGGAUUCUGAGUUGGUGCUUUUCAGAAAGGAGCUCAGCAGAAUGUGGUAGCAGGU